rnacentral:rRNA from 1 species
AGUGAACGCUGGCGGUAGGCCUAACACAUGCAAGUCGAACGGCAGCACAGUAAGAGCUUGCUCUUACGGGUGGCGAGUGGCGGACGGGUGAGGCAUACAUCGGAAUCUACUUUUUCGUGGGGGAUAACGUAGGGAAACUUACGCUAAUACCGCAUACGACCUACGGGUGAAAGCAGUGGAUCUUCGGACCUUGCGCGAUUGAAUGAGCCGAUGUCGGAUUAGCUAGUUGGCGGGGUAAAGGCCCACCAAGGCGACGAUCCGUAGCUGGUCUGAGAGGAUGAUCAGCCACACUGGAACGGAGACACGGUCCAGACUCCUACGGGAGGCAGCAGUGGGGAAUAUUGGACAAUGGGCGCAAGCCUGAUCCAGCCAUACCGCGUGGGUGAAGAAGGCCUUCGGGUUGUAAAGCCCUUUUGUUGGGAAAGAAAAGCAGCAGGUUAAUACCCCGCUGUUCUGACGGUACCCAAAGAAUAAGCACCGGCUAACUUCGUG